rnacentral:rRNA from 1 species
GAUGAACGCUGGCGGCGUGCCUAAUACAUGCAAGUCGAGCGAACAGACGAGGAGCUUGCUCCUCUGACGUUAGCGGCGGACGGGUGAGUAACACGUGGAUAACCUACCUAUAAGACUGGGAUAACUUCGGGAAACCGGAGCUAAUACCGGAUAAUAUAUUGAACCGCAUGGUUCAAUAGUGAAAGACGGUUUUGCUGUCACUUAUAGAUGGAUCCGCGCCGCAUUAGCUAGUUGGUAAGGUAACGGCUUACCAAGGCAACGAUGCGUAGCCGACCUGAGAGGGUGAGCGGCCACACUGGAACUGAGACACGGUCCAGACUCCUACGGGAGGCAGCAGUAGGGAAUCUUCCGCAAUGGGCGAAAGCCUGACGGAGCAACGCCGCGUGAGUGAUGAAGGUCUUCGGAUCGUAAAACUCUGUUAUUAGGGAAGAACAAAUGUGUAAGUAACUACGCACGUCUUGACGGUACCUAAUCAGAAAGCCACGGCUAACUACGUG